GACCGGGGCGCUUCCGGUGCUGAUGUGGCCGGAACCCCGGCGGAGCUUCGGAGCGAAAAACUUAACGGCUGAAGCAGCUGAGUGACCCCCCCCCCCAAAAGAAGAAACCAACCUGCACCUCUGCGGCCUUUUGGAGACCCCCGGCUGCUUGCAAGCUGUGACUCCUUCCUUUUCUGGACCUUCUCUGCUCCUUUUAUGCUCCAGCUGACGACCUCCUCCUUCUCCCUCUGUGCCGCGGGUUGCCUGGAGGGUGAAGAUGCUCAGCCGUUUGUCAGGGCUGGCCACCACUGUCCUGCACGAGCUCUCGGGGGAUGGAGAAGAUGCUGGGACAGCACCGUCCCCCGCUGGACCGGAGUUUGAACCCAGCCAGCAGAAUGGGGAGGAGACCCCAGAGGACGUCCUGGAACGGCUGGCCCACAUGGAGAAGCUGGUGGCGCAACUGAAGACCCUG